GUGGGGCUUCGGCCCCAUUGAGAUAGCACCCUUUGUUUAUGAGUACCCUUGUUUCCUCGGCGGGCUUGCCCGCCAUGAGGACAAUAAAAACCCUUUGCAGUAGCAGUAACUUCAGUUAAUAAUAAAUAUUAAAACUUUCAACAACGGAUCUCUUGGUUCU
rnacentral:misc_RNA from 1 species